rnacentral:tRNA from 1 species
GGGAUGUAGCUCACUUGGUAGAGUGCCUACCUUGCAUGCACAAGGCCCUGGGUUUAAUCCCCAGCACUACCG